rnacentral:rRNA from 1 species
AGGGAAUCUUCGGCAAUGGACGGAAGUCUGACCGAGCAACGCCGCGUGAGUGAAGAAGGUUUUCGGAUCGUAAAGCUCUGUUGUAAGAGAAGAACGAGUGUGAGAGUGGAAAGUUCACACUGUGACGGUAUCUUACCAGAAAGGGACGGCUAACUACGUGCCAGCAGCCGCGGUAAUACGUAGGUCCCGAGCGUUGUCCGGAUUUAUUGGGCGUAAAGCGAGCGCAGGCGGUUAGAUAAGUCUGAAGUUAAAGGCUGUGGCUUAACCAUAGUAGGCUUUGGAAACUGUUUAACUUGAGUGCAAGAGGGGAGAGUGGAAUUCCAUGUGUAGCGGUGAAAUGCGUAGAUAUAUGGAGGAACACCGGUGGCGAAAGCGGCUCUCUGGCUUGUAACUGACGCUGAGGCUCGAAAGCGUGGGGAGCAAACAGGAUUAGAUACCCUGGUAGUCCACGCUGUAAACGAUGAGUGCUAGGUGUUAGACCCUUUCCGGGGUUUAGUGCCGUAGCUAACGCAUUAAGCACUCCGCCUGGGGAGUACGACUGCAAGGUUG